rnacentral:rRNA from 1 species
AGGGUUUGAUCAUGGCUCAGAUUGAACGCUGGCGGCAGGCCUAACACAUGCAAGUCGAGCGGUAGAGAGGUGCUUGCACCUCUUGAGAGCGGCGGACGGGUGAGUAAUGCCUAGGAAUCUGCCUGGUAGUGGGGGAUAACGCUCGGAAACGGACGCUAAUACCGCAUACGUCCUACGGGAGAAAGCAGGGGACCUUCGGGCCUUGCGCUAUCAGAUGAGCCUAGGUCGGAUUAGCUAGUUGGUGGGGUAAUGGCUCACCAAGGCGACGAUCCGUAACUGGUCUGAGAGGAUGAUCAGUCACACUGGAACUGAGACACGGUCCAGACUCCUACGGGAGGCAGCAGUGGGGAAUAUUGGACAAUGGGCGAAAGCCUGAUCCAGCCAUGCCGCGUGUGUGAAGAAGGUCUUCGGAUUGUAAAGCACUUUAAGUUGGGAGGAAGGGCAUUAACCUAAUACGUUAGUGUUUUGACGUUACCGACAGAAUAAGCACCGGCUAACUCUGUGCCAGCAGCCGCGGUAAUACAGAGGGUGCAAGCGUUAAUCGGAAUUACUGGGCGUAAAGCGCGCGUAGGUGGUUCGUUAAGUUGGAUGUGAAAUCCCCGGGCUCAACCUGGGAACUGCAUUCAAAACUGUCGAGCUAGAGUAUGGUAGAGGGUGGUGGAAUUUCCUGUGUAGCGGUGAAAUGCGUAGAUAUAGGAAGGAACACCAGUGGCGAAGGCGACCACCUGGACUGAUACUGACACUGAGGUGCGAAAGCGUGGGGAGCAAACAGGAUUAGAUACCCUGGUAGUCCACGCCGUAAACGAUGUCAACUAGCCGUUGGGAGCCUUGAGCUCUUAGUGGCGCAGCUAACGCAUUAAGUUGACCGCCUGGGAGUACGGCCGCAAGGUUAAAACUCAAAUGAAUUGACGGGGGCCCGCACAAGCGGUGGAGCAUGUGGUUUAAUUC